rnacentral:rRNA from 1 species
GUUGAACGCUGGCGGCGUGCCUAAUACAUGCAAGUCGAGCGAACAGACGAGGAGCUUGCUCCUCUGACGUUAGCGGCGGACGGGUGAGUAACACGUGGAUAACCUACCUAUAAGACUGGGAUAACUUCGGGAAACCGGAGCUAAUACCGGAUAAUAUAUUGAACCGCAUGGUUCAAUAGUGAAAGACGGUUUUGCUGUCACUUAUAGAUGGAUCCGCGCCGCAUUAGCUAGUUGGUAAGGUAACGGCUUACCAAGGCGACGAUGCGUAGCCGACCUGAGAGGGUGAUCGGCCACACUGGAACUGAGACACGGUCCAGACUCCUACGGGAGGCAGCAGUAGGGAAUCUUCCGCAAUGGGCGAAAGCCUGACGGAGCAACGCCGCGUGAGUGAUGAAGGUCUUCGGAUCGUAAAACUCUGUUAUUAGGGAAGAACAAAUGUGUAAGUAACUAUGCACGUCUUGACGGUACCUAAUCAGAAAGCCACGGCUAACUGCGUG